rnacentral:rRNA from 2 species
UGGGGAAUAUUGCACAAUGGGCGCAAGCCUGAUGCAGCCAUGCCGCGUGUAUGAAGAAGGCCUUCGGGUUGUAAAGUACUUUCAGCGGGGAGGAAGGGAGUAAAGUUAAUACCUUUGCUCAUUGACGUUACCCGCAGAAGAAGCACCGGCUAACUCCGUGCCAGCAGCCGCGGUAAUACGGAGGGUGCAAGCGUUAAUCGGAAUUACUGGGCGUAAAGCGCACGCAGGCGGUUUGUUAAGUCAGAUGUGAAAUCCCCGGGCUCAACCUGGGAACUGCAUCUGAUACUGGCAAGCUUGAGUCUCGUAGAGGGGGGUAGAAUUCCAGGUGUAGCGGUGAAAUGCGUAGAGAUCUGGAGGAAUACCGGUGGCGAAGGAGGCCCCCUGGACGAAGACUGACGCUCAGGUGCGAAAGCGUGGGGAGCAAACAGG